CACAGAGUUAGCCGGUGCUUAUUCUGUCGGUAACGUCAAAACAGCAAAGUAUUAAUUUACUGCCCUUCCUCCCAACUUAAAGUGCUUUACAAUCCGAAGACCUUCUUCACACACGCGGCAUGGCUGGAUCAGGCUUUCGCCCAUUGUCCAAUAUUCCCCAUGCUGCCUCCCGUAGGAGUCUGGACCGUGUCUCAGUUCCAGUGUGACUGAUCAUCCUCUCAGACCAGUUACGGAUCGUCGCCUUGGUGAGCCAUUACCCCACCAACUAGCUAAUCCGACCUAGGCUCAUCUGAUAGCGCAAGGCCCGAAGGUCCCCUGCUUUCUCCCGUAGGACGUAUGCGGUAUUAGCGUCCGUUCCGAACGUUAUCCCCCACUACCAGGCAGACUUCCUAGGCAUUACUCACCCGUCGCCGCUCUCAAGAGAAGCAAGCUUCUCUCUACCGCUCGACUUGCAUGUGUUAGGCCUGCCGCAGCGUUCAAUCUGAGCCAGGACUA
rnacentral:rRNA from 1 species